UAUGAGAGUUUGAUCCUGGCUCAGGAUGAACGCUAGCUGUGUGCCUAAUACAUGCAUGUUGAACGAAGUUUUUUAAACUUAGUAGCGAAUGGGUGAGUAACACGUAUCUAACCUACCUUUUAGAUUGGGAUAACUAUUGGAAACAGUAGCUAAUACCGAAUACGUAUUGAUAUCGCAUGAUAACUUUAUAAAAGAAGCGUUUGCUUCACUAAAAGAUGGGGAUGCGCCAUAUUAGUUAGUUGGUAGGGUAAUGGCCUACCAAGACGAUGAUAUGUAGCCGGGCUGAGAAGCUGAUCGGCCACACUGGGACUGAGAUACGGCCCAGACUCCUACGGGAGGCAGCAGUAGGGAAUUUUCCACAAUGAGCGAAAGCUUGAUGGAGCGACACAGCGUGCAGGAUGAAGGUUUUCGGAUCGUAAACUGCUGUUAUAAGGGAAGAAAAACUUGGAUAGGAAAUGAUUCAAACUUGACGGUACCUUAUUAGAAAGUGACGGCUAACUAUGUGCCAGCAGCCGCGGUAAUACAUAGGUCACAAGCGUUAUCCGGAAUUAUUGGGCGUAAAGCGUUCGUAGGCGGUUUGUUAAGUCUAGAGUUAAAGCCUGGGGCUCAACCCCAGCCCGCUCUGGAUACUGACUGACUAGAGUUACAUAGAGGUAAGCGGAAUUCUUAGUGGAGCGGUGGAAUGCGUAGAGAUUAGGAAGAACACCAAUGGCGAAGGCAGCUUACUGGAUGUAUACUGACGCUCAGGGACGAAAGCGUGGGGAGCAAACAGGAUUAGAUACCCUGGUAGUCCACGCCGUAAACGAUGAUCAUUAGCCGCUGGAAUAUUCAGUGGCGCAGCUAACGCAUUAAAUGAUCCGCCUGAGUAGUAUGCUCGCAAGAGUGAAACUUAAAGGAAUUGACGGGGACCCGCACAAGCGGUGGAGCAUGUGGUUUAAUUUGAAGAUACGCGUAGAACCUUACCCACUCUUGACAUCUUCCGCAAUACUAUGGAGACAUAGUGGAGGUUAACGGAAUGACAGAUGGUGCAUGGUUGUCGUCAGCUCGUGCCGUGAGGUGUUAGGUUAAGUCCUGCAACGAGCGCAACCCCUGUCUUUAGUUACUAACGGAUAAUGCCGAGGACUCUAAAGAGACUGACUGGGUAACCAGUAGGAAGGUGGGGAUGACGUCAAAUCAUCAUGCCUCUUACGAGUGGGGCAACACACGUGCUACAAUGGACGGUACAAAGAGAAGCAAUAUGGCGACAUGGAGCAAACCUCAAAAAACCGUUCUCAGUUCGGAUUGAAGUCUGAAACUCGACUUCAUGAAGUUGGAAUCGCUAGUAAUCGUAGAUCAGCUACGCUACGGUGAAUACGUUCUCGGGUCUUGUACACACCGCCCGUCACACCACGGGAGUUGAUAAUGCCCGAAGAUGGUUAGUUAACUUCGGAGACGACUAUCUAAGGUAGGAUCGAUGACUGGGGUGAAGUCGUAACAAGGUAUCCCUACGAGAACGUGGGGAUGGAUCACCUCCUU
rnacentral:rRNA from 1 species